rfam:Flavobacterium branchiophilum FL-15, complete genome.
UGUUUGCGUGAGGGAUAGUAGCGGUAUCCUUUUCUUUUUUUUCUUUAAAAAAAGAAAAGAUAUAGCGAAUAGCCCGACCCUUG